rnacentral:rRNA from 1 species
AUGCAGAGUGCGACGAUCACACGACCCGGAGGGGCCAAAAACAGCUGGAAACACACCUCUCCAGUUCCACUAGAACGGAACAAUGAGUCAGCAACAGUGGAGCACGCAGAUAAUCAUUCUCUUCUAAGGAAAAGAAAGGAAACAAAGAUCUCCACAGAGAACUUGUGGUGGAUGAAUAAGUUGCGGUUGCGUGUUAGUUUAUUGGAGAAACGGCCUCGGCUCCAUGCUGCGGGAAGGUCCACGCGCGAUGGUUUUCGUAGUUAUCAGCACUGUCGGCCGCACCUAAUCACAAACAAAUGUAGGUGGAAUCCAGACGCACAUCGCCAUCAGCUCCCACAUAGGAGCAGUACGCUACUGGUAGUAGCUGGUACUGCCGCCCGUAUUGUGCUCAUAAAUUUGAUAGCCGUGGUACGUGUGUAUUUAGAUUUAGAUUUUAGAUUCUAUGUUGGCAUGCCCAUGCUUGAGCCGGUCUCUUGUUGA